AUGAAGACAUUUCUCAUCAUUUCCCUCCUUGCUAUCGUGGCGACCACCGCCACAACUGCAGUUAGAGUUCCAGUGCCACAAUUGCAGCCGCAAAAUCCAUCUCUGCAGCAACCACAAGAGCAAGUUCCAUUGGUGCAACAACAACAAUUUCCAGGGCAGCAACAAACAUUUCCACCACAACAGCCAUAUCCGCAGCCGCAACCAUUUCCAGCACAACAACCAUAUCCGCAGCCGCAACUAUUUCCACAGCCGCAACCUUUUCCGCCACAACUUCCAUAUCCGCAGCCGCAACCAUUUCCCCCACAACAACCAUAUCCACAACCGCAAACACAGCAUCUGCAACCACAACAACCAAUUUCGCAGCAACAAGCACAACAACAACAACAACAACAACAACAACAACAAAUCCUUCAACAAAUUCUGCAACAACAACAACUGAUUCCAUGCAGGGAUGUCAUCGUCUUGCAACAACACAACAUAGCGCAUGAAAGCUCACAAGUAUUGCAGCAAAGUAGUUACCAAGUGUUGCAACAAUUAUGUUGUCAGCAGCUGCGGCAGAUCCCCGAGCAGUCGCGGUGCCAAGCCAUCAACAAUGUCGUUCAUGCUAUUAUUCUGCAUCAACAACAACAACAACAAGGACAACAUCAACAGUCGAGCCAGGUCUCCUACCAGCAGCCUCAGCAACAAUAUCCAUCAGGCCAGGGCUCCUUCCAGCCAUCUCAGCAAAAUCCACAGGCCCAGGGCUUUGUCCAACCUCAACAUCUGCCCCAACUCGAGGAAAUAAGUAACCUAGCGCUGCAGACGCUACCAGCAAUGUGCAAUGUCUACAUCCCUCCAUAUUGCUCGACCACCAUUGCGCCAUUUGGCAUCUUCGGUACUAACUGA
rnacentral:rRNA from 1 species